CUCGAAAGAGAGCCGUAACACAAGUGCUGCAUGGCUGUCGUCAGCUCGGUGUCGUGAGAUGUUGGGUUAAGUCUCGCAACGAGCGCAACCCUUGUCAUUAGUUGCUACAUUCAGUUGGGCACUCUAAUGAGACUGCCGGUGACAAGCCGGAGGAAGGUGGGGAUGACGUCAAGUCCUCAUGGCCCUUAUAGGUGGGGCUACACACGUCAUACAAUGGCUGGUACAAAGGGUUGCCAACCCGCGAGGGGGAGCCAAUCCCAUAAAGCCAGUCGUAGUCCGGAUCGUAGUCUGCAACUCGACUACGUGAAGUCGGAAUCGCUAGUAAUCGUGGAUCAGAAUGUCACGGUGAAUACGUUCCCGGGUCUU
rnacentral:rRNA from 1 species